CUCAUUCACUUUCUCUUUCUCUUUCUCAUCUCAGAGAAAAACUCUCUCCAAGAAAAACCCUAAAAUCAGUUUCUAAAAUUUCACUUUCUCUUUCACUGUUUCAUUCCCUCGGUUUCUUUCUCCGUUCAACACAAAUCUCAGAAACUAUCCUAAAAUCCUACAGAAAGUCUAUCAAACCUCAGAUAUAUCUGCAGCCCUCUCUAUAGUGUUCAUAUAACAUCUAUGAAAACAAAUCUGACAUCAAUGGGAAACAAAAAGGUAAAGACUCAGAUUAUGAUUCAGUUGCUCAUAUUCAUGAAAAUGAUUCAGUCACUUUUGAAGUCAUCAAUGUACCCUAAGCGUAUCUAUGCAGACUAAGGAAACACUAAAGAAUAAGCAUGUCAAGAAGUUUCCAAUCAAGAUAAAGAAGCAACUGAAGAUUCAGUCCCAACCUGAUAAUGCAACUCCACCUGAAACUGCUUCACUUACUUCAAAGUGCCGAACACCGAGAAAAAGAAAGUCCGCCGAACCAACUGAACCUACAUCCCAUAGGCGAUUAUCACCAAGGUUCAAAGAACCCGCAGAACCAACUGAUCCUAGAAGUACUACACAAACUCCAAAGCCUCGACAAUCUAAAACUACCAUCCCAUCUCCAGCUGAUACAAAUACUUAUCAGAGGCGAUCAUCUCCAAGAUUCAAAGAGUUUGAACAACCAAGUUCUUUUAAACUACCACCAUCUCGAAGGAAACUAGUUUCUAAGAACAACAAAGUGUCGACACCUACAAAUUCUAAAGAAGUUGCUGGAAGUUCCAAAGCUGGGCGCAACAAUGUAAAGCGGAAGUUGGACAUAAGCACUGGUCCUUGUCCAAAUGUUCAACUCAGGAAUCCAGAUGAUACUUUUCAUAUUUUGAAGAGGAAGAAGAAGAUGAAAUUUUACAGCACAACAAAGACAUGGCAGCGGAAGAGCCUGCAGAUGAAGAAAAAGAUAAUGAUGAUGAUAUUGAGACUGAAGUGGGAAACGAACUGGAGAAUGAUGAUGAUGGUACUACUGAUAAGCCAGAAGGUGAAGAAGAUGAGGUUGGGGAACCUCCGAAGAAAAGAAAGUUUGUUCCACGUGGGCCAACACAGAUGCAUGCAUUGAGGUUAGAAAACACUACUACAAAAAGUGUUGUUCCCUUCAACAUUAAAGAACAGUCGAUUGGUGAACCUUCCGUGCAGCUGGCUAGUUUUCUAGGGGUGUUAGUCCGGCGAAACAUUCCAUUAACACACAAGGAUUGGAUACUUGUUCCUCAACAUGCCAAGGCCAACAUAUGGAAGAUAGUCGAGAUAAUUAAACUGAUUCUUAACUCUUUAAUUAACUCUUUUCAUUAGUCGACAACUCUUUAACUCAUAGCAGAUCUAAUUAAAAUGAUUUAUGUUUAUUUGCAGCAACGUUUCAUUGUGCCCGAACAUUACCAAGACUACUAUUUUGGAAAAAUGGGAACGUAUCUCAAAGAAUUUCGAUCCAGGAAAGCCACUUUGGUACUCGAGGCGUAUGAUAACCUACAAGGGAAAGAAAGAGAGAAAAAGCUUGCACAGCUAAUGCCCACGAGCAUGACUGUCAGUGAGUGGAAAAAGUUUGUGAAACGUGUAAACUCGACUGAAUUCAGAAAGUUCGUUCAAAGCAUACCACCCCUCACACGCUUAGUCGACAAGGUUAUGCACGAAUGGAGGUGCAGAUGCAAAAAGUUUUGAAAACAACUGAACCGAUCGAUAGAGCUGAUUUAUGGGUAAAUGGCCACAAACACACUGACAGAAGAGACCCAAAUCCUGCUGUUUUAGAUGCUUUUAAAAAAUUGAAGAAGCUAAAUCAAAUCAUGGUUCUGAUGGUGGUGAAUCGUCCAUGACAAAAGAUCUUCUUACAAAGUCUCUUGGUGAAGAUAAAGGGGUAAGACUUAAAGGCAUGGGGUAUGGAGUGACACGUAAAAAGAUUGCAGCCAAUGCCCACUACAAGUUGAUCAUUAAAGAGUGUCAGGAAACCUGUAGAGCAAUGAAUGAUCGGCUUGUGAUAUUGGAGGAAAGGUGCUCGAAAUGUGUGCGAUGAAGUCUCACACUCUCACAGGGCCAGUCCAGUUGCAAGCAACAACCAGACUAGCACUAGGAGAGUUGUUCCAUGUACUGAAAAAGCCUCAACUACUCCCACUACCAAUCAUGUCAGCAGAUCAAAUGAGGUGCAAGUGCCAGAGAAAUUUACAGCUUGCAAGUUGCUAAGUUGGUACAAGGAUGGCGAGGUGGUGGCUGAUGCGGAGAUAUGUGAAACUGAUCCAGCGCAUGAGAUACAUGGGAUGCCAAUAGGUUUCGGAGCCUAUACUGUGUGUGUGUUGACUCCUCAUGUGAUGAAUGCUCAUGUCCACAAGCCGACCUCAGAGUUCAAGUAUGUUGCUGAUGCUGUUGGAAGUAUUAUCUCAUGGCCCAAGGAUCGAAUAGUCUACUGAUAGACAUCUUUCAUAAUCUUUUUGGAGUGUUUAAGGAAACUACUUUUGGUUACAAACAUCUAUAUCACUGCCAUUUUUUUAAUGUCUAUGUUUAACUUGAAGAAUGUAAAUGUGUUAAACUGGUAGGUGAACCUAAAAAUAGUUCAGGUGAAUGUGUUACACUUUUCAGAUGAAUGUGAAUUACUUUCGGCAUUUU